rnacentral:misc_RNA from 1 species
GGUUUUUCGUGGGAAGAUACAAUGGUGAGUUUCUUAUACCUCAUUUCCUGAAUUUUUCUUUUCUCAGAUUCUGAUUAUUUUGAUAUUUUGGUUAAUUGCAUCGAUUUUCUGCAUAACUGGUGUGUGCAUGUUUAUUUUGUAUUAUAUUAUCCUGUUAUUCCCCUAAUCAUAAACGGUAAAGACUUACCUACAUUUAGUUAUUUACAACCAUUUGAUUUACAAUUUACACAUAAUUUAAAAUCAUGUUGGGCCUAUUCAAAAAUAUAGUAGGUUCUACCUAAAAUCAUGGUGUGCUAAUUUCUUAUUAAUUGGGUAUGUAAAUCAAGCUAUACGCACCGAGUGCAGUAGAUAAGAAUUUCCUAAUUAUAAACACACAAGUGCUUGUAAGUAAAAUGAUAAAGGAAAAGUCAAUGAUGGAACAACCCCCCCGACUAACACACAAACAAAUAAUAAUAAUAAUAAUAUCCUCUAAAGAAGGAAACUUGUGCAUUUGUUUUCCUCAUUCAUUUUAAUUUAUCGUUUUACUGAUAAUUUAUUACCUAUUAUCUUGGCUUUCCAUAGACAUUGAGAGUCUACUUCCCGAG